rnacentral:lncRNA from 1 species
GCAAGUAUGGGCAGCUGGAGCAGUUGGGAGCAGCUAAGAGAGGUGUGCUUCACCAGCCAAAGGGGAGCACGAAAUUGCACUCUAUAAAUAGAGAGUUGCACACUCAUUCAAGGAGGGAGGGCAGACACACACAUUCACUUCAUCCAUUACUCUCAUACACACAUUCAGAUUCACCACAAAGAGAGAAGGGAGCUUGGAGCUGUCAAGGGAGCUUGGAGCUGUCCUGGGAACUUCCUUGCUGCCACCAUCUAGUUCUUCUCCUCUCUUUAUCCUAUCUAUGUAUUUCUUAUUUUCUGUAUUCAUAGUUAUGUCUAACUAAUCCAUUUAGUUAGGGCUUAGGAUGAAGCCCUAGUCAUGAAUAUUCAAUGUUAUGGAUGAUUUUAUAGUUAAUUGAUUUCUUUGCUUUUAUUAUCAAGUUGUUAAUCUCCAGUUUAUUAUGUGCUUGAUGUAUGUUUUCUUGGAGUAGCUAACUAGGAUUUUAUGCAUCUAGCACAGGUUGGGAAGGGGUUUAGAUUCACCAAUUCUACUCUCCUUUCACAAGCAACACAUGAAUGGCCUAAGAAUCAUUCAAG